rnacentral:rRNA from 1 species
UACGAAGGGGCUAGCGUUGCUCGGAAUUACUGGGCGUAAAGCGCACGUAGGCGGUCUUUUAAGUCGGGGGUGAAAUCCUGGAGCUCAACUCCAGAACUGCCUUCGAUACUGGAAGACUCGAGUCCGGGAGAGGUGAGUGGAACUGCGAGUGUAGAGGUGAAAUUCGUAGAUAUUCGGAAGAACACCAGUGGCGAAGGCGACUUACUGGACACAUAUUGACGCUGAGGUGCGAAAGCGAUGGGGAG